UUAAUAUACACACAGGUAAUAAUUAAAUAAACCAUUAUAACUUGGCGGUCACAUUAACAAUUAAAGAAACUCGUCUCAUAAACGUCACCACCCGAUAACUUUCACUUAUUUUUAAAGUUUAUAUACCGCCGUCCUCUACACCAAAAAUAAAUAAACUUAAUUCAUUUAAUUAUAAUCACACAAUCAACAACAUUCAGGUCAAGGUGUAACACUAUAAAUAAGAAGAGAUAAGUUACUAAUAAACAAUCAUUUAAGAAAUUUUUAUACUAUUCCAAACUUUUAGAAAAAAGGAAAAAGAAUUUAAUAAUAAAAUAUAAUCAACAAUUAUAAUAGAACCUAAAUCACAGUGAUGC
rnacentral:rRNA from 1 species